rnacentral:lncRNA from 1 species
UUCGCUCAUCCGUGAAUUGCUUGCUACAGGGUACAGUGUGCGUAAAGAAACAAAAAACCAGUAGGCAAUGUCCUUUGACUACUUAUUCGAUUUGCAGUGAGGACACAUGUCUGGAAGGUUUCUCUCCCACAUUAUUUAACUCCUUGCUUAUUAGAAUGUCUUUCUUUUUCUUGGCAUAUAGCAAAAUAUUAGCAUGCAGAAUUUUAUGGUUUAAAAUUGUUCCUUUUUCUUGGGGCUAUAUAUACUAUAACCAAUGCAGCAAUUGAAGGGUUUCAUAGAGUAAAAGCUUCAGACACACAAGACAUAUGAAAAUGAAUUGUGAAUGGAUAAAAAAUUUCAGUAAAAGUGUAAACACUGGUAGCUCUAAAAUUCUAUAAAGAAUGAGCACAAGUUGUUAGAAUCUAAAAACACACUCAUUGGAAAUUAGAUGGUAUAAACUCUUUUAUAUCUUUUUGAUUGGGAUUCACUUGUUCAUCUUAUUUCUAGGUUCGGACCUUGGUGCUGGUCUGCUCUAUUUGGAAACAAGGGGAUUGUCGUGGCUAUGUCGUUCUAAAAGCGACAUUCUUUCCCUGAAAUUUGUGCACUCG